rnacentral:lncRNA from 1 species
GCUUGGCAGGUCACCUGUGCCACCAAGAGGCCCCGAGACCAGUCAUUGCAAGAACCGGCCACCAGAUCCAGAUCUGGGCACCGCCACUGCCACAGACAGAGUGCCCGAACCAUCCAUUGAGGGAGUCCUGGAUUAGGGGGUAUCCGGACAGCCGGACUGUGUAUAACAUCCGGACUAUUGAAGCGUGAAGAUACAAGACUCAAGACUUCGGCCCAUGUCCGAAUGGGACUCUCCUUUGCGUGGAAGGCAAGCUUGGCGAUCCGGAUAUUAUAUUCCCUUCCUUGUAACUGACUCCAUGUAAACCCUAGCCUUCUCCAGUGUCUAUAUAAACCGGAGAGGUUGGUCCUUAGAAGGACAAUCACAAUUACAUUCAUACCAUCAUAGGCUAGCUCUUAGGGUUUAGCCUCUACGAUCUCGUGGUAGAUCUACUCUUGUACUACCCAUAUCAUCAAUAUUAAUCAAGCAGGAAGUAGGGUUUUACCUCCAUCGAGAGGGCCCGAACCUGGGUAAACAUCUGUGUCCCUUGCUUCCUGUUACCAUCGGCCUUGACGCACAGAUCGGGACCCCCUACCCGAGAUCCGCCGGUUUUGACACCGACAUUGGUGCUUUCAUUGAGAGUUCCUCUGUGACCGUCGCUGUCAGGCUCGCUGGCUCCUUCAAUCAUCAUCAAUGACACUGUUCAGGGUGAGACUUUUCUCCCAGGACAGAUCUUCGUGUUCGGCGGCUUCGCACUGUGGGCCAACUCGCUUGGCCAUCUGGAGCAGAUCGACAGCUACACCCCUGGCUACCAGAUCAGGUUCGGAAACCUGAACUACACGGUGGACAUCCACGGAGACUUGAUCUUCGAUGGAUUUGGGCCUAUGCCUGUAGCACCGAACAGUCACGACGAGCAUGGCUUAGACCUGCCGUCGGACGAAGCUCGGGGUAUCACCCCCGUAGUAUCCCCGGACCUAAAUUCGGAGCAGACCGCGCUGCCUAAGGACGGAGGGAUGGACCCCGCCCCGCAGGUCACGCACUCAUCGGCGAUGGAGCCGAACACGGUACUUACCUCUGUGGUGACCUGUGACUCCGGACCCCUGGAUUCGUAUCCGGACAAGGUUUCCAGUCCGCGCACUCCCGAGCCAGCCGAGCCAGGUUGGGCUCCGGUAAUGGAGUCCACCGCUGCGGAUAUCUUCCAGCACUCUGAUACGUCUCCGUCGUAUCUACUUUUCCAAACACUUUUGCCCUUGUUUUGGACCCUAACUUGUAUGAUUUGAAUGGAACUAACCCGGACUGACGCUGUUUUCAGCAGAAUUGCCAUGAUGUUGUUUUAUGUGCAGAAAACAAAAGUUCUCGGAAUGACCUGAAACUCCACGGGAUGUCUUAUAAAAAAUAAUAAAAAAUCCUCGCCAAAGAUGAAGACCAGGGGGCCCACACCCUGUCCACGAGGGUUGGGGGCGCCCCCCCCCUAGGGCGCGCCCCCCUACCUCGUGGGCCCCCCUGGAGACCCUCCGACGCCAACUCCAACUCCAUAUAUUGGAUUUUGGGGAGAAAAAAUCAGAGAGAAAGUUUCAUCCCGUUUUAUGAUAUGGAGCCGCCGCCAAGCCCUAAUCUCUCUCGGGAGGGCUGAUCUGGAGUCCGUUCGGGGCUCCGGAGAGGGGGAUUCGUCGCCGUCGUCAUCAUCAACCAUCCUCCAUCACCAAUUUCAUGAUGCUCACCGCCGUGUGUGAGUAAUUCCAUCGUAGGCUUGCUGGACGGUGAUGGGUUGAAUGAGAUUUAUCAUGUAAUCGAGUUAGUUUUGUUAGGGUUUGAUCCCUAGUAUCCACUAUGUUCUGAGAUUGAUGUUUCUAUGACUUUUCUAUGCUUAAUGCUUGUCACUAGGGCCCGAGUGCCAUGAUUUCAGAUCUGAACCUAUUAUGUUUUCAUGAAUAUAUGUGAGUUCUUGAUCCUAUCUUGCAAGUCUAUAGUCACCUAUUAUGUGUUAUGAUCCGACAACCCCGAAGUGACAAUAAUCGGGAUACUUCUCGGUGAUGACCAUAGUUUGAGGAGUUCAUGUAUUCACUAUGUGCUAAUGCUUUGUUCGGGAUCUCUAUUAAAAGGAGGCCUUAAUAUCCCUUAGUUUCCAAUAGGACCCCGCUGCCACGGGAGGGUAGGACAAAAGAUGUCAUGCAAGUUCUUUUCCAUAAGCAUGUAUGACUAUAUUCGGAAUACAUGCCUAUAUUACAUUGAUGAAUUGGAGCUAGUUCUGUGUCACCCUAUGUUAUGACUGUUACAUGACGAACCGCAUCCGGCAUAAUUAUCCAUCACUGAUUCGGUGCCUACGAGUUUUCCAUAUACUGGUUUACGCUUAUUUACUUUUUCGUCGCUACUAUUACAAUCACUACAAAAAUACCAAAAACAUUACUUUUGCUGUCUUUACUUUUGUUACUGUUACCACCACUAUCAUAUUACUUUGCUACUAAACACUUUGCUGCAGAUACUAAGUUUCCAGGUGUGGUUGAAUUGACAACUCGGCUACUAAUACUUGAGAAUAUUCUUUGGCUCCCCUUGUGUCGAAUCAACAAAUUUGGGUUGAAUACUCUACCCUCGAAAACUGUUGCGAUCCCCUAUACUUGUGGGUUAUCAAGACCUUUUUCUGGCGCCGUUGCCGGGGAGCAUAGCUCUAUUCUUUGAGUCACUUGGGAUUUAUAUCAGCUGGACACUAUGAAGAACUUGAAAGACGCUAAGACAACAAUUUAUCCCUCAACUACGAGGGGAGGUAAGGAACUGCCAUCUAGCUCUGCACUUGAUUCACCUUCUGUUAUGAGUAAGCUAGCGAGACCUAAACCUGCUUCUGCGAUUCGUUCCGAUAUGUCGCAUGUUAUUGAUGAUGCCACUUCUGCUAUGCAUGAUACUUAUGAUGAAACUACUUCUAUGCUUGAUACUACUGUGCCCCUUGGUGAAUUUCUAGAUGAACAAAUUUCUAGGUCUAGAGAAAGAGAAACUAUUGAAACUGAAUACAAUGAUGAAAGUGAUGAUGAAAAUAUGCCUGCUAUUCCUGAGGGUUAUCUGUUUGAUGUUGAAUCUUCUGCAGCUAUUUUUGCUUGUAAGGAUAGAUAUGAACUUAAAAGGCUGCUAGUUAAAUAGAGUAAAGAAUCUCUUAGAGAUAGGAUGAGACCUGACCCUGCUUUUGCUACUUCACCUAUCUGUGUUCCUGAUAAGGAUUAUUAUGAAUUCUCUGUUGAUCCAGAUAUAAUUACUUUGGUUGAAUCUGAUCCUUUUUAUGGCUAUGAAUCUGAAACUGUUGUGGCACAUCUUACUAAGCUAAAUGAUAUAGCUACCCUGUUUACUAAUGAUGAGAGAUCGCGCUACUUUUAUAUACUCAAAAUAUUUCCGUUCUCAUUAAAGGGUGAUGCUAAGAUAUGGUUCAAUUCUCUUGAUCCUCGUUGUGUGCGUAGUCCCCAGGAUAUGAUUUAUUAUUUCUCUGCUAAAUAUUUCCCUGCUCAUAAGAAACAAGCUGCUUUGAGGGAAAUAUACAACUUCGUGCAAAUUAAAGAAGAGAGUCUCCCACAAGCUUGGGGGAGGCUUUUCAAGUUACUUAAUGCUUUGCCUGAUCAUCCUCUUAAGAAACCUGAAAUACUUGAUAUCUUUUAUAAUGGACUAAUCGAUGCUUCCAGAGAUUACCUGGAUAGUUGUGCUGGUUCUCUUUUCAGGGAAAGAACACCGCAUGAAGCUGAAAUUCUAUUGAAUAAUAUGUUGACAAAUAAAAAUAAUUGGGCACCUCCUGAGCCAAUUCCUAAACCAACUCCGAAGAAGAGAUGUGUUCUAUUUCUCAGUCCUGGAGAUAUGCAAGAGGCAAAGAAAUCUAUGAAAGAAAAAGGUAUUAAAGCUGAAGAUGUUAAGAAUUUACCUCCUAUUGAAGAAAUACAUGGUCUUAAUUUACCGCCUGCUGAAGAAGUAUAUGAUCUCAAUUCUUUAUUCACUGAAGAACCUCCUGAUCCCGAUAUCCCGACACAGGUAGUAAAGGUAAAUUCUCUCUAUAGAUAUGAUAAAGCUGAAGUCCCUCCUACUAAAAUUGCUAGUCAGUGCUUGGAUGAGUUUGAUAACUUUAUGUUUAAGCAAGAUGACUUUAAUGCUUAUUUUGGUAGACAAUUAAAACAAAACACCUUUAUGAUUAAACGCUUGAGUGAUUAUAUGGCUAAUAUUAGAGGUGAACUUAAACUUGUUAGCAAACAUGCUUCUAUGGUUACCACUCAAGUAGAACAAGUACUUAAAGCUUAGAAAGAAGUGCUUGAUGAAAUGAAUAGUAAGAAAAAUGAUUAUGCUGUUAGAGUGGCUACUAGAACUGGUAGAAUGACUCAGGAACCUUUGUAUCCUGAAGGCCACCCUAAGAGAAUUGAGCAAGAUUCUCAGAGAAAUAAUAUUGAUAUGCCUAGUUCUUCUAAAAGGAAGAAAAAGAAAAAUGAUAGGACUGUGCAAACUUCUAGUGAACCUAUUGCUGAACCACCUGAGAAUCCAAAUGAUAUCUCUAUGUCUGAUGCUGAAACACAAUCUGGUAAUGAACAUGAACCUAGUGAAAAUGUUAAUGAUGAUGUUCAUGAUGAUGCUCAACCUAGUAAUGAUAAUGAUGUAGAAGUUGAACCUGCUGUUGAUCUUGAUAACCCACAAUCAAAGAAUCAACGUUAUGAUAAAAGAGACUUCAUUGCUAGGAAACAUGGUAAAGAAAGGGAACCAUGGGUUCAGAAACCCAUGCCCUUUGCUGAAAUGAUUAGACCUAUCUUUUUGCGUAUGCGAUUGACUGAUAUGCUCAAAAUAAAUCCUUAUGCUAAAUAUAUGAAAGAUAUUGUUACAAAUAAAAGAAAGAUACCGAAAGCUGAAAUUUCCACCAUGCUUGCUAAUUAUACUUUUAAGGGUGGAAUAGCAAAGAAACUUGGAGAUCCAGGAGUACCUACUAUACCAUGCUCCAUUAAGAGAAAUUAUGUUAAAACUGCUUUAUGUGAUCUUGGAGCCGGUGCUAGUGUUAUGCCUCUCUCUUUAUAUCGUAGACUUGACUUGAAUAAGUUGACACCUACUGAAAUAUCUUUGCAAAUGGCUGAUAAAUCAAUUGCUAUACCUGUCGGUAUUUGUGAGGAUGUGCCUGUUGUGGUUGCAAACGUUACUAUUUUAACGGACUUUGUUAUUCUUGAUAUUUCCGAGGAUGAUAGUAUGUGUAUUAUUCUUGGAAGACCUUUCCUUAAUACUGCAGGGGCUGUUAUUGAUUACAACAAAGGCAAUGUCACUUUUCAUGUUAAUGGUAAUGAGCAUACGGUACACUUUCCGAGGAAACAACCUCAAGUUCAUAGUAUCAACUCUAUUGGAAAAAUUCCAUCGAUUAUAUUUGGAGGUUUUGAAUUUCCUCUCCCUACUGUCAAGAAGAAAUAUGAUAUACUUAUUAUUGGGGAUGUCCAUAUCCCCGUUGAGGUAACAUAGUGUUAUUCGAAACUUCUUCGGUUCCAUGAUUAUCAGAAUGAGUUUGUUAACAAGACUUGAUCAACCUUGUUAGUGGAUUCCUUUUGAUGAGCAUGAGAUGGAUGAAACUAGAAGCACAACCUUCUGUACCCUCUUCAUAUUUUCUGUUACUUAGUAGAAAUAAAGUAAAAUAGUAUUUUUCUGUCUGUUUCCUGAUUUAGCCGUGCAAUAUAAAAAUAUCCCGAAAAUAAAAGUCCUCAGAAUUCCAUGCCAAUUUUGCUGUGAUUUUUGAUCUCCUUGCUCAAAGCACCUCUCGCAAAACUGCUUGGGGAGAUUGUUCCUUGGUAUGUGACUCCUCCAUUGGUCCAAUUAGUUUUUGUUCUAGUGCUUUAUUCUUUGCAAAUUUGUGCUGCAUAGGUGACCAUGUUCUUGAGCUUGCAUGUCAAAUUUAUAUGGUUCCAAGUAGUUCUAAUGCUUGAUAUAGGCUCUAGGCACUUGUAGGAGUAGUUGCUAUCAAUUUUAUUGAAGUUGGUUCACUUUUGUUUGAAGUUACUAAAAAUUUCAGAAUUAUUUUUCAGAGAAAACAAUAUGUUUAGGAAGAUGUUCCAAGGUGGUUCUUCAAGGAAGCAAGGUCCCAGGCUUGCAAUGCGAGAUGCUAACGAGGAACCACCAAGAGACGCUCCUGUGAGGCCCUGUGAAUGGCCUUCGGAAAAUUUUAUGAAUCAAGCGGGAAUCAAAGAAGAAUUUAACGCAUAUUUGCGUAAUGCCGGUCUUGAGGACUUUGAGGCUGAUAAAUGCCCCCGGUAUCAUGAUCUCACAAGUUCAUUUGUGGGGAGGUUUGAGUUUUCAUCUUAGCGUAAUUCUCCUUCAGUCAUGUUUGACCUUUAUGACAAAUCUUAUACCAUGGACUUAGAGGAUUUUACUCUUGCGUGAAAACUUCCAUCUUGGGGUAGUAUCAGGGAUCCCCCUAAAUCUGAAUAUAGAGACUUUCUUGCUAGAAUAAUCGUGGGGGAAUCUAGAGAUAUAACGCAAGCCACUAUAGGGAGCAUUCACUUUCCUGCUAUACAUUAUUUUUCUCUCUUCAUAGGUAGAUGCAUAAAUGCUAAGGAUGAAGCAUGUCACAUGUGUGCCCCUGAUCUCAGCAUUCUCAGAAGUGCUGUGUUAGGAGACCAAUCUUAUCAUAUGGGAGCCAUUGUAGCUCGUAGGUUGCAUCAUAAUAGACAUAACAGAGAUUUCUUUGGAGAAAUUUAUGCAACCCGCUUAGCUAAUUUCCUUGAGAUAGACAUUCAUGAGGGUGAUAUGGAGUUACCCCCUACUUAUUUGGAUUUCGAUUCUAUGGUUUCGCCCCAGUUUGUUGAGAGGAAUGAUCCACCUCUCCAGUACCGACUAAUCUUUAACAAAAGGCAUGUUGUCCAUGUUACUCUUCCUGCUCCUGCCUUCUUUGAUUUUCAGACAAAACGGAGAUAUAUUAUUACCAGAGAGGAGGCAGAUGAGUACGAGAGGAGAGCGGAGGCGGCUCGACGCCACGCUGCAGCUUAGGAGGCGAUAGCCGCUGCAUCGCAGUACGACCCCAGCUACACCUAUAGGUAUCCGCCAGGCUAUCCCUGGCAAUAGACCAACUUAGGCCAAAAGCCUAAGCUUGGGGGAGUACGUACUUCCACCGACAUUACAUUCAUGUUCACACACACUCAUUGCUAGAUGUCAGUGCUCAUACUCUUUCACUGUAAUAUCCAUGCUAGUUUAUUUUCUUUUUCCUGCUUUCUUCUUGUGUGUUUAAUAAACCUUAAGAAAACCCCAAAAAAUUAGUAGUAGUUUAUUUCUCUGCCGUAGUAGUAAUAAUUAAAAAGAAAACCCAAAAAUAUUUCCCGUUCUUCUUUUGCUUGUUGGGAGCUUUCCCGUGUAAAUAGUUUUAUUUCUUUUCUUUGGGGUCAGUAGGAGAAGACCAUGAUUAAAUUGUUGAAGUGGCUCUUAUAUGCAAUAUUGUUAAUUUAACCAAGAGCCCAUAUUGCCUUGUCUUCUCCUGUUUAUUGAAUGCUCGCAGAUUCCAGCUUAGUCCAAUGCACGUGCACUCUUAUUAUUAUUCACAUUGUUCGGUCGUGCAAGUGAAAGGCAAUUAUGAUGAUAUAUGAUGGACUGACUGAGAUGGAAAAGCUGGUAUGAACUCGACCUCUUUUGUAUUUGUAAAUAUGAUGAGUCCAUCGUUCUUGAUUCAGCUGAUUAUGAAUAAACAUGUUUUCAAUGACAAUUAGAGAUCAUAGUUGCUUGUGCCAUGCUUGAUUAGCUACGAGUUAUAAUGGUUUACCUUGCGUGCCAACAUGCUAUUGAGAUGAUUAUGAUGUGGUAUGAUAGGGUGGUAUCCUCCUUUGAAUGAUUUAAGUGACUUGACUUGGCACAUGUUCACGCAUGUAGUUGAAACAAAUCAAUAUAGCCUUCACGAUAUUUAUGUUCAUGGUGGAUUAUAUCCUACUCAUGCUUGUAUUCAAUGUUCAUUAAUUUUAAUGCAUGUUCAUGACUGUUGUCACUCUCUAGUUGGUCGCUUCCCAGUCUUUUGCUAGCCUUCACUUGUACUAAGCGGGAAUACUGCUUGUGCAUCCAAUCCCUUAAACCCCAAAGUUAUUCCAUAUGAGUCCACUAUACCUUGCUAUAUGCGGUAUCUACCUGUCGUUCCAAGUAAAUUUGUAUGUGCCAAACUCUAAACCUUCAAAUAAUCAUUCUGUUUUGCAUGCUCGAGUAGCUCAUAUAUCAACUAGUGCUGCCCUUAUCUUCCGUGUUAGGCGGGUUAUUCUCAAGAGGAGUGAAGUCCGUCCUCACUCACGAGAAAAUGGUUGGUCACCCGGAUGCCCAGUCCCAUGCUUUAUGCAAACUAAAUCAAAAUAAUUGCAAACAAAACUCCCCCUGGGACCCAUUGAAUGUUGGAGGCUCUUGUUGUUUCGAGCGAGCCAUGAAUUGAUGCUUGUGGAGGAGGGGGAGUAUAAACUUUACCAUUCUGUUUGCGAACUGCCUAUAAUUUGUUUAGCAUGGAAGAUAUCGUCAUCUCUUAGUUGUUAUGUUGACAAUGAAAGUAUGCCGCUCAAAAUAUAAUUUAUCUCUAUUUCAAAACCGAGCUCUGGCACCUCUACAAAUCACUGCUUCCCUCUACGAAGGGCCUAUCUAUUUACUUUUAUGUUGAGUCAUCACCCUUUUAUUAAAAAGCACUAGCUGGAGAGCACAGCUGUCAUUUGCAUUCAUUACUGUUAAUUUAUAUCGGGUAUGACUAUGAUUGGAUCUCUUUUACCAUGAAUUACAAUGUCUAGUCAGUCCUUGAUCUUUGAAGGUGCUCUGCAUUUAUGUUUUGCAGUCUCAGAAAGGGCUAGCGAGAUACCAUCUUGUUAUAUCAUAUUAUGAUUGUUUUGAGAAAGUGUUGUCAUCCGAGAUUUAUUAUUAUGACUUGCUAGCUGAUUAUGUUAUUGAUAUGAGUAAACAUGAGACCUAGGAGUUAUUACAAAUGUGGUUAGUUAUGAUCUUUGAUGAAAACCUAAAUGCUGGCUUGACAUAGUUACAACAACAAGAGCAAACAAAGUUUGUAAAAGUUUUUAUUUUUCUCUUUCAGUUUGUCAACUGAAUUGCUUGAGGACAAGCAAGGGUUUAAGCUUGGGGGAGUUGAUACGUCUUCGUCGUAUCUACUUUUCCAAACACUUUUGCCCUUGUUUUGGACUCUAACUUGUAUGAUUUGAAUGGAACUAACCCGGACUGACGCUGUUUUCAGCAGAAUUGCCAUGAUGUUGUUUUAUGUGCAGAAAACAAAAGUUCUCGGAAUGACCUAAAACUCCACGGGAUGUCUUAUAAAAAAUAAUAAAAAAUCCUCGCCAAAGAUGAAGACCAGGGGGCCUACACCCUGUCCACGAGGGUGGGGGGCGCCCCCCCUAGGGCGCGCCCCCUACCUCGUGGGCCCCCUACCUCGUGGGCCCCCCUGGAGACCCUCCGACGCCAACUCCAACUCCAUAUAUUGGCUUUCGGGGAGAAAAAAAUCAGAGAGAAAGUUUCAUCGCGUUUUACGAUACGGAGCCGCCGCCAAGCCCUAAUCUCUCUCGGAAGGGCUGAUCUGGAGUCCGUUCGGGGCUUCGGAGAGGGGGAUUCGUCGCUGUCGUCAUCAUCAACCAUCGUCCAUCACCAAUUUCAUGAUGCUCACCGCAGUGCGUGAGUAAUUCCAUCGUAGGCUUGCUGGACGGUGAUGGGUUGGAUGAGAUUUAUCAUGUAAUUGAGUUAGUUUUGUUAGGGUUUGAUCCCUAGUAUCCACUAUGUUCUGAGAUUGAUGUUGCUAUGACUUUGCUAUGCUUAAUGCUUGUCACUAGGGCCCGAGUGCCAUGAUUUCAGAUCUGAACCUAUUAUGUUUUCAUGAAUAUAUGUGAGUUCUUGAUCCUAUCUUGCAAGUCUAUAGUCACCUAUUAUGUGUUAUGAUCCGACAACCCCGAAGUGACAAUAAUCGGGAUACUUCUCGGUGAUGACCAUAGUUUGAGGAGUUCAUGUAUUUACUAUGUGCUAAUGCUUUGUUCCGGAUCUCUAUUAAAAGGAGGCCUUAAUAUCCCUUAGUUUCCAAUAGGACCCCGCUGCCACGGGAGGGUAGGACAAAAGAUGUCAUGCAAGUUCUUUUCCAUAAGCAUGUAUGACUAUAUUCAGAAUACAUGCCUACAUUACAUUGAUGAAUUGGAGCUAGUUCUGUGUCACCCUAUGUUAUGACUGUUACAUGACGAACUGCAUCCGACAUAAUUAUCCAUCACUGAUCCGGUGCCUACGAGUUUUCCAUAUACUGGUUUACGCUUAUUUACUUUUCCGUCACUACUGUUACAAUCACUACAAAAAUACCAAAAACAUUACUUUUGUUGUCUUUACUUUUGUUACUGUUACCACCACUAUCAUAUUACUUUGCUACUAAACACUUUGCUGCAGAUACUAAGUUUCCAGGUGUGGUUGAAUUGACAACUCAGCUGCUAAUACUUGAGAAUAUUCUUUGGCUCCCCUUGUGUCGAAUCAACAAAUUUGGGUUGAAUACUCUACCCUCGAAAACUGUUGCGAUCCCCUAUACUUGUGGGUUAUCACACUCGCCCUUUGGUGACAUGCUGGACUCAUUAAACUCUCUCUCUUUGUCAGGAGGCUCGGGGCCGAACUAUGUUCGACUUGAGUGGGAAGCAGGCGAUGAAGGAGUUCGUUGCUCACCCACCACCCACUUCAUUGCCACGGUCGAUGAUUUAACCAAGGUACUGGACUUCGACUCCGAAGACAUCGACAGUAUGGACGACGAUGCAGGAGAAGAACAUGAGCCACCGCUCACUGGGUAGUGGACAACCACCUCUUCCUAUGAUAUAUAUACGGUGGAUACUCCGAAGGAAACAAAUAGCAACGAGGCAACGGAGGAUAAAACCUCAGGGAAAAAAGCAAAGAAUGGGCGUCGUGGGCGCCACUCCAAGCCCCGCCAUAGCAAUACCGGCCCAGGAGACGAAAACAAUCCGAAUGGUGCCGAAGAAGAAUACAACCCUGAUCAGCCCGCCUUCGAGCAGGCUGAACAAGAGGAUGAGCAGGUUAGCCCAGAAGAACAGGCGACGGACGAAUACCCGGAGGAGGACAGCUACAUGCCCCCUCCGAAGACGAGAUUAGCCUCGGCGACGACGAGUUCGGCGUGCCUGAGGAUCCCGUAGAGCAGGAGCGCUUCAAGCAUCGGCUUAUAGCUACUGCGAGGAGCCUGAAAAAGAAACAGCAGCAACUCCAAGCUGAUCAAGACCUGCUCACAGACAGAUGGACUGAAGUCCUGGCAGCCGAGGAAUACGAACUCGAGCACCAUACGGCUGACCGGCCACCUCAUGGCCGGGAUAAAACAACAUACCAGUCCGCAUACCAGCCAACACCCCCACGCCAACACACUACGGCCCGGGGCAACGAAACAGGACAGCCAAGAUCGAUCUACGAAUCGCGGGGGCGCGCCUCGGCACGCGACGACGACCGUCACGCCGGACACACCUUCAACAAGUCUGGCCGGGCCAAAUAUAGCCACCUAGAGCAAUUUGACCUGCCUAGCCACAUAGCCCGGCACAGAGGCACCAUGCACCCCCUUUGCUUCACUGACGAAGUAAUGGAUCAUGAAUUCCCAUAAGUGUUCAAACCCGUAAACAUCGAAUCAUACGAUGGCACAACAGACCCCGCAGUAUGGAUCGAAGAUUUUCUUCUCCACAUUCACAUGGCCCGCGGAGACGAUCUACACACCAUCAAGUAUCUUCCCCUUAAGCUCAAAGGACUAGCCCGACACUUGCUAAACAGCCUGCCAGCAAAUUCCAUUGGCAGUUGGGAAAACCUGGAAGACGCAUUCCUCGACAACUUCCAGGGCACAUAUGUGCGACCACCUGACGCCAAUGACUUGAGCCACAUUACUCAACAGCCCGGAGAGUCAGCCAGGAAAUUCUGGACUCGGUUCCUAACUAAAAAGAACCAAAUAGUUGAUUGUCCGGACGCUGAAGCCCUGGCGGCUUUCAAGCAUAAUAUCCGUGAUGAGUGGCUCGCUCGACACCUCGGCCAGGAAAAACCCAAGUCCAAGGCAGCUCUCACAACACUAAUGACCCGCUUUUGCGCGGGCGAGGACAGUUGGUUGGCUCACAGCAGCACUACGCCACAGUCUGGCAAUUCAUAUGGCCGCGACAAUAACGGCAAGCCACGGCGUAACAGACAUAAGCGACGAAACAACGACGACGGCACUGAAGACAUGGCAGUCAACGCUGGAUUCAGUGGAUCCAAGCCCGGUCAGCGGAAGAAGCCGUUCAAAAGAAAUAAUCAGGGACCGUCUAGUCUGGACCGCAUACUGGAGUGCUCGUGCCAAAUUCAUGGCACCCCGGACAAGCCAGCCAACCACACCAAUAGAGAUUGCUGGGUAUUCAAACGGGACGGCAAGAUAAACGCCGAAGACAAGGACAAGGGGCUGCACAGCGACGAUGACGAGGAGCACCGACGUCCGAACACGGGGGGACAGAAGAAAUCCCCCCCAGGUGAAAACGGUCAACAUGAUCUAUGCCACGCACAUCCCCAAGAGGGUACAGAAGCGGGCACUAAGGGACGUCUAUGCGAUGGAGCCAGUCGCCCCCAAAUUCAAGCCAUGGUCAGCUUGUCCGAUCACGUUUGAUCGUAAGGACCAUCCCACUAGCAUCCGUCAUGGCAGCUCAGCCGCAUUGGUCUUAGACCCAAUCAUCGAUGGAUUCCACCUCACGCAAGUCCUUAUGGACGGCAGCGGCAGCCUGAACCUGCUUUAUCAGGACACAGUGCGCAAAAUGGGCAUUGACCCUUCAAGGAUUAAGCCCACUAAAACCACCUUUAAGGGUGUAAUUCCUGGAGUAGAGGCCCGCUGUACGGGCUCUAUAACACUGGAAGUGGUCUUCGGAUCCCCGGACAACUUCCGAAGCGAAGAGUUAAUCUUCGACAUCAUCCCUUUCCGCAGUGGUUACCACGCACUGCUCGGACGAACCGCAUUCGCUAGAUUCAAUGCGGUACCACAUUAUGCAUACCUCAAGGUCAAGAUGCCAGGACCGCGCGGGGUCAUCACUGUCAAUGAAAAUAUGGACCGCUCCCUUCGAACAGAAGAGCCGACUUGCCGAACUUAUAGGGGAGAGACAUCCAAGGAGGCAACGGACGUUGUGCAUAGAAGGAAAUACCCAGGUGGAAUCUAUUUACGAUCAUUAUACCUGCUUUAUCUAUCUAAACACAGCCUGCCCCUGGAUAGGACAUGUUAAAUAGUCCUAUUUUAUCUCUGCUUAACGCAUCCAUUGUAAACAUACGCUUAAACGUAUUUUUUGCCAAUGGGAGAUUAUCUAUAGCGUCAGCUUAUUAUUCUUAUUUGAGCAUUUUUUUUCUUUUAUAAAUGUUCAUUUGAUAUUGCAUCCGUACACCUUGGUGUGGUCAGUUUGCCAGGGGCUUCUCAUGGCGCCCUGUAAUAUGGCAAAUAAAGUCCGAACACGUUCAACAGUGCAGCACCCCGAACUUAUAGCUCUAUAUGCAUCAGCUCCGAAUCAUGUCUUGGGUCUACAGUUGGGAUAGCCCGACUCCCUUGUUUUGGUGCCUUACGUUCCGUUAUAUCGGCUAAGGUAGCGCAGGGAGAACUACUGCGAUUGUGUCCCGGUUCUUCCGGACGAGCACCUCAGUAGAGAAAGCCGAAAACUGACCGGCAUGAUGUGGCGAGAGCUGGUCGCUAUUCGAGAGGUUUUAAAAUCCUUAAAGAUUUUCCACUUUAGGCGAUAAAUCGGCUUCGUCCAAUCUAGGCGUGUAUAGCGCCCCGAUUCGGCCUUCCGGAUUCUAGGGGCUUUGCCGAAAUUUAAAAUUGUAGACUUCUAUGGCUAAGUGAAAGUUAUAAAGCCGCAUAGUCCUAUUGCCUUGUUCGCUGCACCGGACACCUCCUUAAGGGACCAAACAUUUGGAUAAAGAGUGUCCGGGUUUUCCACGAACACCCCAGUACUAGUUACUUGGGGGAGGAAGCCGACGACUAGCCUACUUUCAGAAUUUUAUAAAUAGCCGCACAAAAGGUAAUGUUUUAAAUAACAAAAGCGCUACAUAGCGCAAGUAACUUCGUCUUUAAUUACAAACAUGACAGAAGUGAAUUCAUUCCAAAAUGGCGUCCUUGGUACACUCAUCAGCGACGAGACGAGCACCCUUCAUCACGCCAUCGUAGUACAUUUCGGGAUGGCGAUGCGCCUUGCCCUCCAGCGGCCCGUCCUUGACCAGCUUCUCCGCAUCCAGCUUACCCCAAUGCACCUUGACGCGGGCAAAGGCUCGGCGGGCACCUUCGAUGCAAAUGAUCAGGCCAAAGUAGCUACUGGGAAGGAGUUCACCAGGCCACAUCCUGAUUAUGAAGUCCUUCAUAGCCAGUUCGGCCGCCCUGUGGAGUUCGAUCAAUUGCUUCAGUUGGUCGCUCAGAGGCAUCGGCUGAUCGGCCCCAGCAUACUGGGACCAGAACAGCUUCUCUGUUGAGCUCCCCUCCUGGGCACGGUAGAACUCUGCAGCAUCUGAGACGCUGCGUGGCAGAUCUGCAAAUGCCCCUGGAGAGCUCCGAAUCCGAGUAAGUAAAAGAAACGCCUCCUCCACAUGCUUGCUUUGCAUAAAGAAUUUCUUACCCAUUGCUAUCUUUUUGGCCUCCUGGAUCUCCUGCUGUGCUUUCUCGGCUUCGGCCUUGACAUCUUUCAAAUUUACAAGGGCCUUCGCGAGCUCGGCCUCCUUCAUCUUCAGAUCAUGCUCCACGGACUCGCACUUCUUGUCGAGGUCCAGGAGCUCUUGCUGUACCUCGCCUACCCUAGCACUUUGCUUUUCGCGCUCCUUGCAUUCCAAGGCCGCUUUGUUUUCAGCCUCGGACAACGCUUUCCUCAGGGACGCCACUUCGGCGGUGGCCCCUGUUACAUAGUCACGACGCUUUAGGCGUUAGACUGACCAAUUUUGCCUAUCUUCAAAUACAUAUGAACGGGGAAUCUCUUACAUUUAUUCUCCUCGAGCUGCCUCUUCGUGAGGCUGAGCUCUCCCUGCGCCUGCUCCAGAUCCCGCUUCAGUUUGGCGACUUUGGCAGUGCGGGCAGCAGCAGCAAGCAGCACAACCUGUUUAUGCACACGAAUGUUUAUUGUUAGACCCUUGCGGAUUAUAAUUGACCCUCCGUUUGGUUUUUCUUUCCGAACACCAAACAGAGUAUCAGGGGCUACUACCUAUCGGGUGGUAAUUUUACACAUAUUUAUUACUUACCUCAAAACCUGUCAAGAGGUUGGUGCAAGCUUCGGUUAGUCCACUCUUGGCGGACGAAACCUUCCGAAUCACCGAACUCAUAAGAGUACGGUGCUCCUCAUCUAUGGAAGCGCCGCGAAGCGCUUCCAGCAGACAAUCCAGCGCCUCGGGUGCACCGGAAGUCCUUGAUGCAGACGGCUCGCUCUCUCCGAGGAGGGGCUGCCCGCCUGAGUUCGGAACCAUUGAGGGUCCCGGGACAGUGUUCGGCUGAGAGCCCGGCCUAUUAUGGCUCUCACCGACACGAUCCGCGGGGACCUUGAACCCCGCGUGUCCGACGUCUGGGACCCCACCUUGGGGCAUCUCCAGAGUCACCUCCCCCCGCUCGGGGAGCCUUUGGGACAACACUUCCGUGUCGUCCGCAGGUUGAGGAGUAGUGGCUGUCGGAAGCGAAUUGAUCUCCGAAUCACUCAGGGAUCCGGAGGAAGACACUUCGGGGUAAGCCCUGGCCGGACUGCACAUAUGUCCGGCAUUAAACAAAAGCUAUAGAAUGAAGUUAUGAUGAAGUGCGGACACUUAGGAUCGCACCGGGGGCUUCCCUCGGGGCAGUCACCCUUCCUCACUAUAAGCGGCAGUGGCGGAGUAGUCUGGAAGGGGUACCUUCCCCUUCUUGGACGCCCCAGCCUCCCCCUCCGGGGAGGCUUUUCUCUUCUUCUCCCCCCAGUGCGGGGAGGUGGAAUUUCUUCUUGAUUCCCCCCGCCUCCGCGGGAGGGAUCUAUCUCAUCGUCAUCAGACGACAAGGGUAUAACGGCCUUGCGCCGAGGGCCUUUCCCGGCCCCCUGGCCCGCCUCUCCGGGCCCCUCAUCCUUUCCGGAUGGGGCGUAUUCUUCUUCUUCCUCCUCCCCUUCGUGGGAGGAGUCUGCCUCGUCGUCUUCGGAUGAGGCUUCGGACGCAACCUUACGCCGGAGACCCUUCCUGGUCCCCGGGGCCUUCUUUUCGGCCUUCUUCUCCGGCACCUUGUAGGGCGCCGGGACUAGCAUCUUCGUCAGGAGAGCAUCAGCUGGAUCUUCUGUCAAUGGAGCUGGACAGUCAAUCCGCUCCGCUGUCUUCACAUAAUCCUGAGGCAAAUAUACACAAAUACUUAAGACUCCCCCAUGAAUGUAUUGGGAAAAACCGAACCCGGUGGUAGUCCCAAAACUCACCAGACGCGGGGGCCGUGUUGCAUGAAGUCCGCGGUCCUCGGAUGUGGGAGGAGGUAUUUCGGAGGCCUUAAACAACUCCUUCCACGCGUCUUUGUGCUUCAUACCAUAGAGCCUCUGAAGCAUCUAGUGUUCGGUCGGGAUGAACUCCCACAGAUUGAAUGCCCGCCUUUGGCACGGCAAAAUCCGGCGAACGAGCAUGACCUGGAUCACGUUGACAAGCUUGAUGUUCUUGUCCUUCAUGCUCUUGAUGCAGGUUUGGAGUCCGGCCAGCUUUGUAGGUUCACCCCAAGUCAGGCCCUUCUUUUCCCAGGUGGUGAGCCGCAUGGGGGCUCCGGAUCGAAACUCGAGGGCCGCCACCCAGUUGGCGCCACGCGGCUUGGUGAUGUAGUACCACCCCGAUUGCAACCCUUUUACGGUCUCCUCAAAGGAGCCAUCCAGCCAGGUGACGUUAGGCAUCUUGCCCACCAUGGCCCCUCCGCACUCCGCUUGCUGGCCGCGUACAAUCUUUGGCUUCAUGCAGAAGAUUUGCAGCCACAGGCUGAAGUGAGGCCGGAUGCGGAGGAAAGCCUCGCAUACGAAGAUGAACGCCGAGAUGUUGAGGAUGAAAUUUGGGGCUAGAUUGUAGAAAUCUAGCCAGUAGUAGAACAUGAGCCCGCGGACGAAGGGGUGAAGUGGAAACCCCAGUCCACGGACGAAGUGGGCGACGAACACGACCCUCUCGUGGGAUCCCGGGGUCGGGAUGACCUGCCCAGCGUCCGGUAGCCGGUGCGCUAUGUCUGCAGCCAAGUAUCUGGCCGCCCAAAGAUUUGCUAUGUGCUUCUCCUUGACGGUGGAAGCCACCCACUUGCCUCCUGCUCCGGACAUGUUUAGCUGUGCGGAGAAGACUUGGGCUUGGGCGCUGGAGCUCGAGGGGGCAAGAGUGGGCAAAGGAGGAAGAAGGCAUGGGUAAAAAUGGGGAAAUCUUAUCCCUUUAUAGAGGCGACAAAAGCGGUGCACCUUCCCACUUGCCUGUUGGAAAUCGCUUGCUUCCCAAGCGCCACGAUUGAUGAUGUGGUGGGAUUACCCAUACCCGUAUUGAUGAGAAUCCCGUGAUAGGGGGACACGAUCUCUGCUUCAACAAGACGUGUCAAAGAAACCGCCUCGCGAUGUGCGCUAUGGCUAAUUGUGGGAAAAGGGUUCGAAUAAUGACCCGACCGUAAUGACACGUCGCAUUGCCUAAAAAGUUGUCAACAGAUUGCAUUUGUGAAAUACCAUUCUCUCUACGGUGGCAUGUGAAGAUCAUUUUGUAGAUCCAGACACGGUUCAAGUGUUCAGUAAUUACCUUGGAGUAUUCGGAGGAGGAACCCGCCCUGUAAUGCCGAAGACAAGACUGCGCGUCGGACUCAUCAUCAUUGAAGCCUGGUUCACGGGCUACUGAGGGAGUCCUGGAUUAGGGGGUAUCCGGACAGCCGGACUGUGUAUAACGUCCGGACUAUUGAAGCGUGAAGAUACAAGACUCAAGACUUCGGCCCGUGUCUGGAUGGGACUCUCCUUUGCGUGGAAGGCAAUCUUGGCGAUCCGGAUAUUAUAUUCCCUUCCUUGUAACCGACUCCAUGUAAACCCUAGCCUUCUCCGGUGUCUAUAUAAACCGGAGAGGUUGGUCCUUAGAAGGCCGAUCACAAUUACAUUCAUACCAUCAUAGGCUAGCUCUUAGGGUUUAGCCUCUACGAUCUCGUGGUAGAUCUACUCUUGUACUACCCAUAUCAUCAAUAUUAAUCAAGCAGGAAGUAGGGUUUUACCUCCAUCGAGAGGGCCCGAACCUGGGUAAACAUCUGUGUCCCCCUACCCGAGAUCCCCCUGUUACCAUCGGCCUUGACACACAGAUCAGGACCCCCUACCCGAGAUCCGCCGGUUUUGACACCGCCACUGCCACAGACAGAGUGCCCGAACCAUCCACCACUACACCCCUCGCCACCCGGACAGUCAAGAAACAUAACCACCACUGCCGCCAUGGAGUCUGCCGGAAAGCCACCAUACAGACCACUGUCCAGAACCGCCGCCUCAGCAUCCAUGUCCCGAGUCAUCGGCAACUAUCGACAUUAUAACGCACAACCACGGUGGGAGGAGUGGAAGGGGCAUCUUUCCGCUACUAGCUCGUCAUCAGCCACAUGGCCUGGGUGAUCGCCUCAAUGGUAGGAGGCGUCCACGCCUGCGUCCCGGGUCAGUCCCCGUGGAACAUGGGCAACAAGGCCUUGUGACUACUGAUGACCACUGUCGAGCAAGCCCCAGCACUGGUCCCUGACCUUUGCCCGAGUCAAACUCGCACGCCGGCACACCCUUGACCAUCGACGUCGAUCUGACCUACAACAUAGCAUCAACACGGGCGCAUACUCGGACUGAUCCCGCAAUGGAGCAGCCAGGAAGGAGGGCACUAACGUGAUGUCAUACCAGCGAACUAGGUCGGCCCCCUGCACCUGCACUCCAUCGGAUGCCAUCCAUCACCGCAAAACAGAUUUGUGUCGCCCCAACACUGUCUGCCAGUGACACAGAUCCCUGCCGCAAGCGAGCAGUGGGCCGCCCCGCACCCACCCGGAGGAGCUCGGGUAGCUCCACCACGCCAGGCCCUGUCCAGACCGCACCAGAUCCACGUCGCCAACAAGACCCUAGCCACCGUGGUCGCCCACACAUGGCGCCAGCCGAACUGGCGCACCUCAUCGAGGGCCCUGAUACGUCUCCAACGUAUCUAUAAUUUUUGAUCGUUCCAUGCUAUUUUAUUAUCAAUCUUGGAUGUUUUAUAAUCAUUUUAUAGUCAUUUUAUAUCUUUUUUGGUACUAACCUAUUGACAUAGUGCCAAGUGCUAGUUGAUGUUUUUUCCAUGUUUUUUACAUCGCAAGAAAUCAAUAUCAAACGGAGUCCAAAUGCCACGAAACUUCACGAUGAUUUUUUAUGGGCCAAAAGGAAUCGGAUGGGCCCUGGUUGCACCUGGGGGAGUCCCGAGGAGGGGACAACCCACCAGGGAACGCCAGGAGGCCCUGGCGCGCCCUCGUCGGUUGUGGCCACCUCAGAUACCCCCCAGACCGCCUCUUUGCGCUAUAAAUACCCAAAUAUUCUAGAAACCCUAGGGAAGUCGACGAAAUAUUCAUCCAGCCGCCGCAGAGUCCAGAACCACCAGAUCCAAUCUAGAAUCCAUCUCGGAUGGGGUUCACCACCUCCAUUGUUGCCUCUACGAUGAUGCGUGAGUAGUUCUUUGUAGACCUUCGGGUCCGUAGUUAGUAGCUAGAUGGCUUUAUCUCCCUCUCUCUCUCUCUCUCUCUCUCUCGCUGAAUUGUCAAUACAAUGGUCUCUUGGAGAUCCAUAUGAUGUAACUCUUUUGCGAUGUGUUUGUUGGGUUCUGAUGAACUUCGAGUUUAUGAUCAGUUAUAUCUUUUUAUAUCCAUGAAAGUUAUUUGAGUUUCUUUGAUCUCUUAUAUGCAUGAUCUCUUAUAGCCUCGUAUUUCUUCUCCGAUAUUUGGGUUUUGUUUGGCUAACUUGAUCUAUUUAUCUUGCAAUGGGAAGAGGUGCUCGGUAGUGGGUUUGAUCUUACGGUGCUCGGUCCUAGUGACAGAAAGGGAAACGACAUGUAUGUAUCGUUCCUACUAAGGAUAAAAAGACAAGAUCUAUAUCUACCGCCAUAUAGAUAAACGGAUCUUGUCUACAUCAUGUCAUCGUUCUUAUUGCAUUACUCUGUUUUCCAUGAACUUAAUACACUAGAUGAAUGCUGGAUAGCGGUCGAUGUGUGGAGUAAUAGUAGUAGAUGCAGGCAGGAGUUGGUCUACUAAUCUUGGACGUGAUGCCUAUGUAAUGAUCAUUGCGUGGAUAUCUUCAUAAUUAUUUGAAGUUCUAUCAAUUUCUCAACAGUAAUUUGUUUACCCUCCGUUUGCUAUUUUUCUCAAGAGAAGCCACUAGUGAAACCUACGGCCCCCGGGUCUUCUUUCUCAUAUAUUUGCCCUGCGAUCUACUUUUCCUUGGCUUUUUCAGAUCUAUCAAACAAAAAAAAUACAAAAAUACCUUGCUGUGUUUUAUCUUUAUUUAUUCUAUUUGGCGUUUGAUCUAUCAAUCUUCUACAAUUUACCUCACGUCCGCUUGCCUAUCUUGAGGCGUCGUACCCCGAAAGGGAUUGACAUCCCCUUUAACUCGUCGGGUUGCGAGGUGUUGUUGUUUGUGUGCAGGGGCUGUUUACGUUGUGUUGCUUGGUUCUCCUACUGGUUCGAUACCUUGGUUUCAUAACUGAGGAAAAUACCUACCAUCGUUGUGCUACAUCAUCCCUCCCUCUCCGGGGAAAUACCGACGUAGUUGCAGCUGUCAUCAAGGAGAAUUUCUGGCGCCGUUGCCGGGGAGGAUCUUCAACAUAAACAAGUUCCUAAUCAUAAAUCCCAUCUCCUUGCAAUUCACAUUAUUUUCCAUUUGCCUCUCGUUUUCCUCUCCCCCACUUCAUAAAAAUUUGUCGUUUUAUUCGCCUGUGUUUUUCCGUUCGUCAUCUUCUUGUCAGAUCUAUUAUUUGCUUGCAAUCAUGAGUGAUUUCGGUAUGGCACCAACAGAUGGUGGCCUGACUCUUAAGAUUGGACGUACAGGCAAUUUGGAUGCUAAAACUUUUAUCUUGGGGCAAGGGAACAUUAUGGGAAAAGAACCUAUCCAAGAAUUUUUCAAUUGUGUUGGAAAUCUAAGUCUUGAUGAUGCUCCAAUACUUAAAACUACUAGAUAUUAUGCGGAUGCUAUUUCAGCACAAGUUCUGAAACUUGAAAGUAAAUUUAUUCGUACCCAUACUACUUUGCAAAUAUUGUUUUUUGAGCUCCCCGAUAUAAAGAAUCCUAGGGCUAAAAAGUUGGCCACUCUUGUUCUUAUGAACGAGUUUGACUACAUAAUUCAGGAAGCUAGGGAAAUCUUUGACUUUUAUGGUAUGAAUCGUGAAAAACCCGUGAUUGAUGAAAUUCUUUACAAUAGUGACCAUGAAUUAAGGCAUUUGCUUGGGGACAAUAAGUUCAUUGAUGAGAAUCUUAAAAAGGAGGUCCCCGUUCUAGAUAUAAUCCAACAAGUUUUUAAUAAUGUUAAUCAACACUAUUCUUGGAUUGUAGCGGGAAAUCAGAGGGGUUAUGAUGAAAAUCAACUAAGGAAUGCUAAAGUUUCUAUGGAUAAUAUGUUUUAUGUUGUGUUUACAAAACCUCCUGAUAAAAAUACCCCCAAGAAAAUUAAGAAGAAGAAAGAUGACAAAACUUAGAUCCUUACUUUAUGCCUAGGUAAGCGCGUAAAACUAUAGCGCUUGUUGGGAGGCAACCCAAUGAAUAAAAUUUAUUUUUGCUUGUUGCUUUCUGUUCUUGAGUGUUAGAACAAUUAUGCUACUGUUAUGAUUGUGUUUUUUAUAUUUUAAUUAGUGUUUGUGCCAAGUAGAACCAAUAGGAUCUUCUUGGGUGAUAGUUGUUUAAUCUUGCUGAAAAAGACAGAAACUUUGUGCUCACGAAAAUAAUUGUCAAAAUUCACCGGAACAUGAUAAAAUGCUAAUUCUUUUUGCAAAGGAUCAAUAUACAAAUUAUCUAGGUUGUCCUAGUUUUUCAGAAUUUGUGGAGUUCCAUAAGUAUUCGAACAAAUCAGAUUGCUACAGACUGUUCUGUUUUGACAUAUUCUGUUUUCUUUGUGUUGUGUGUUUAUUUUGAUGGCUCUAUAGUUUUCUUUGAUGAGUUUUUGCCAUAGAAAAGUUGGAAUACUGUAGAUAUAAUACAAAAACAAAAUAAUAAUUGGUUUGAUACAGCACUUAUAGUAGUGGUUUAUUUUUCUUACACUAACGGAUCUCACGAAGGUUUUGUUGAGUUUUGUGUGAUUAAAGUUUUCAAGUUUUGGGUUAUCUUACGAUGGAUGAAGGAAGGAUGUAAGAGCCUAAGAUUGGGGAUGCCCCGGCAUCCCAAGCUAUUAUUCCAACAAUGAGCAACAACCAAUCUUGGGAAUGCCCCCGAGUGGCAUCCCGCUUUCUUCCAACAACUAUCGGUAUUUUACUCGAGGCUAUAUUUUUAUUCGUCACAUGAUAUGUAUUUUGCUUGGAGCGUCUUGUAUGAUAUGUGUCUUUGCUUGUUUUAUUUUGUGUUUUAAGUCAUGAAUCCUUUCUGAACACACCUAUUUGAGAGAGCCAAAAUUAUAUCAUGACUUGUUAGAUUUGCUCUCUAUGCUUCACUUAAAUCUUUUAUGAGCUAGGACUUGCUCUAGUGCUUCACUUAUAUCUUUUUGGGCACGGUGUGCUUUGUUAUUUUUGAAGAAAUGCUCUCUUGCUUCACUUAUAUUUAUUUGAGAGUUAGUAAAAUUUUGAAGAAAUUCUCUCUUACUUCACUUAAAUUAUUUUGAGAGAAAGAAAAUUUGUUAUGCUCAUGAUCUUCACUUAUAUUUGUUUGAGCUUAUGAAAAGCAACACAUGAAAAUUAGUCCCAAAGUGAUAGAUAUCCAAGAAGGAUAAAGUAAAAGAAAAUUUCAUGAAGAUCAUUGGACAAAAUAAACUUGAUUCUUAGUAAUAGUUUUGAGAUAUGAUGAUGUGAUAUGUGAGUUAUGUUGAUGAGUAAUUGUGCUCUAGUAAGAAUAUUGGUGUUAAGGUUUGUGAUUCCCUAUGCAUGCACGAAAGUCAAUAAUCAUGCAAUGAAAAUUAUAUCCUACUUGUGGUGCAUUAUUCGGUGUUAAUUAUGCUUAAUGCUUGCUUAUGAGAUUAUUCAUUUCUUGGUUGGUCGCUUUCCAAUCUUUUGCUAGCCUUCAUUUUGCACUAAGUAUGAUCUCUACUUGUGCAUCCAAAAUCCUUUAAACCAGUUUUGCCACAUGAGUCCACUAUAUCUACCUAUAUGCGGUAUUAUUUUUCCGUUCUAAGCAAAUUUGCAUGUGCCGUCUCUAAUUUUCAAAAUAAACUUCUCUUUUGUGUGUUUGUUUCGCUCACGGAACGGUAACAGGUGGCUAAUAUUUUUCCAUGCUGGAUGUGUUUUUCUCACGGAACCGGGACUAAAGGGCGCGGCCACCAACCGGGACUAAAGGAAAUUUUAUGAUUUUUUUUGAAAAAAAAAUUUGAAUUUUUUUUGAUUUUCAAAUUUCUGAAUUAUUUUAACCUCUAGUCUGUAAUCACCACCCCUCAUCACUUCUCAAUUUAUUCUCUAAUCACCCCUCAUCAUUCCAAAUCAUCUAACUUCCCGAACGGUCACCCAUCCUCCCACUCCCCCAGCCUAAAAUCCUUUAAACCAGUUUUGCCACAUGAGUCCACUAUAUCUACCUAUAUGCGGUAUUAUUUUUCCGUUCUAAGCAAAUUUGCAUGUGCCGUCUCUAAUUUUCAAAAUAAACUUCUCUUUUGUGUGUUUGUUUCGCUCACGGAACGGUAACAGGUGGCUAAUAUUUUUCCAUGCUGGAUGUGUUUUUCUCAAGAUGAGUGUUUAUUCACUUGUCAUUGCACGAGAGUAAGGCAAUGGUCUUAGGGAUGCCUAGUCCCGAAAUGCAAAAAAAAAUUACUUUAUGUUGUCAAAUAAUAAAUUCCUUGGAAAGUGUUGGUAUGGAGCACUAGUAGAAAAAGGGCCUUCAGUCCCGGUUCAUAAGGGCCUUUAGUCCCGGUUCUGGAACCAGGACUAAAGGGUCGGUACUAAUGCCUAUCCCUUUAGUCCCGGUUCAAUCCAGAACCGGGACUAAAGGGCGCGGCCACCAACCGGGACUAAAGGAAAUUUUAUGAUUUUUUUUGAAAAAAAAAUUUGAAUUUUUUUUUAUUUUCAAAUUUCUGAAUUAUUUUAACCUCUAGUCUGUAAUCACCACCCCUCAUCACUUCUCAAUUUAUUCUCUAAUCACCCCUCAUCAUUCCAAAUCAUCUAACUUCCCGAACGGUCACCCAUCCUCCCACUCCCCCAGCCUAAGCACGCUUAACUUCCAGGUUCUAUUCUCCCUCGCUCCAAGUCUGCACUUGUUGUUUUCCUGACAAUACUAAGAUGUCAAUCCUAUUAACCUUUAGGAAUUUUGCUUGAGCAUGAAAUGACGCAUUUCAUAGUUUUAUUUUGAAACUAUUGUUUUAAAAAACAAUAAUUAUUUAGUAACACUAAUAUUUCUUGAAUAAUUAGUUUGACCAUUGUUUGACCACAGUUUGACCAGAUUUGACCAAAAUUGAAAUAACUGAAAUAAUUAUUUAGUAACAUAAUAUUCUAGAAUAAUUAGUUUGACCAUUGUUUGACCACAAUUUGCCCACUGUUUGAAUUUUUUUAUUUUUUUCACUCUAGAUCUUAAAAGCCCCGUAACUUUUUUUCUAAUAGGUUUUUGAGGAUUUUGAAAAUGUUUAACGCGGUUCCCCCGAUUAAAUUCGGAUGUAACUUUUCGAGUAGAUGAUUUUUCAUAUAAAAAACUUUUUCAUCCGAGUUAGUAUGCAAAAGUUAUGCCCAUUUUUACAAAUUUCAGAGAGAUUUUGCAAAUAAAGUCAAAAUUCACAUUUGCAAAUUUUCCCAACAACUAGACCACAUAUCACAUGGGAAACUUAAUUUCUUUUAUUUUUUUGACAUUUCCAUCAUUUUCUUUUAUUUUUUAAACUGAAAAGGCGAUCCACCAGGGGGGUAGAGUUUGAAAAUGGGACCUUUAGUACCGGUUCGUGGCACGAACCGGGACUAAAGGUCUCAACCCCAUUAGUUCCGGUUCGUGCCUCAAACCGGGACUAAAUGCCUAAUCUUUAGUCCCGGUUUGAGGCACGAACUGGGACCAAUGGUCGUGGGCCAAGAGCGAGGCCCAUUGGUCCCGGUUCAUCCCACCAACCGGGACCAAAAGGUCCAGAUGAACCGGGACCAAUGGCCCAUGUGGCCCGGCCGGCCCCCUGGGCUCACGAACCGGGACCAAUGCCCCCAUUGGUCCCGGUUCUGGACUGAACCGGGACUAAUGGGCUGACCCGGCCUGGACCAAAGCCCUGUUUUCUACUAGUGGAGGGCACCUGUGGAUACGGUUAGCCAUGGAAAGUAAAAGUAUGGUGAAAAAAGAAAUAAACUUUAUUUUCUAUUUGAGAACCACCUAUGGCAUAUCUAGCAUGGAAAGUGUUGGGAACUCUAAGUCGUUUUCGUUGGUGGGAUGGAUACACCUCCCAAAAUGUUUUUAUCUCUAAUCUUUUUGCUUUGUUCUCUGGCACCUCUACAAAUCCCUACUUCCCUCUGCGAAGGGGCCUCUCUUUUACUUUAUGCAAUUUUUAUUUUGAAAUUUGAGUCUCCAUCUUCUCUCAUAAAAAGCACCAACUAGGAGGCAAUAUUAUCGUGCUCAAGUAUUAGGUAGAGUUAAUAUUCGAGUGUGUUUCAUGAAUGGAUCAAUAUUUGAGCAUGAUGGGCUAGGGAUAACUUAUUUUAGCGUUGAUAUUUUGAAAGACAUGGUUGCUUGUUGAUAUGCUUAAGUAUCUAAAUUAUUAUGUCAAAACUAGACUAUUGCUUUGAGUCACAUAAAAGUCCAAAUGUCCAUGCUAUAAAGAAAAGAAUGUGAUAUGACUUGAUGAAAAAUACUCCACAUCAAAAAUUCUGUUUUUAUCACUUACCUACUCGAGGACGAGUAGGAGUUAAGCUUGGGGAUGCUGAUACGUCUCCAACGUAUCUAUAAUUUUUGAUUGUUCCAUGUUGUUUUAUUAUCAAUCUUGGAUGUUUUAUAAUCAUUUUAUUGUCAUUUUAUAUCUUUUUUUGAUACUAACCUAUUGACAUAGUGCCAAGUGCCAGUUGCUGUUUUUUCCAUGUUUUUUACAUAGCAGGAAAUCAAUAUCAAACGGAGUCCAAAUGCCACGGAACUUCACGAUGAUUUUUUAUGGGUCAAAAGGAAGCAGAUGGGCCCUAGUUGCACCUGGGGGAGUCUCGAGGAGGGGACAACCCACCAGGGCGCGCCAUGCCCACCUCGGGUACCCCCCGGACCGCCUCUUUGCUAUAUAAAUACCCAAAUAUUCCAGAAACCCUAGGGGAGUCGACGAAAUAUUUAUCCAGCCGCCGCAAAGUCCAGAACCACCAGAUCCAAUCUAGACACCACCUCGGAUGGGGUUUACCACCUUCAUUGGUGCCUCUCCGAUGAUGCGUGAGUAGUUCUUUUAGACCUUCGGGUCCGUAGUUAGUAGCUAGAUGGAUUUCUCUUUCUCUCUGUCUCACUGAAUUCUCAAUAGAAUGGUCUCUUGGAGAUCCAUAUGAUGUAACUCUUUUGCGGUGUGUUUGUUGGGAUUUGAUGAACUUCGAGUUUAUGUUCAGUUAUAUCUUUUUAUAUCCAUGAAAGUUAUUUGAGUUUCUUUGAUCUCUUAUAACCUCGUAUUUCUUCUCCAAUAUUUGGGUUUUGUUUGGCCAACUUGAUCUAUUUAUCUUGCAAUGGGAUGAGGUGCCCGCUAGUGGGUUCGAUCUUACGGUGCUCGAUCCUAGUGACAGAAAGGGAAACGACAUGUAUGUAUCAUUGUACUAAGGAUAGAAAGACGAGAUCUAUAUCUACCGCCAUAUACAUAAACAGAUCUUGUCUACAUCAUGUCAUCGUUCUUAUUGCAUUACUCCGUUUUUUCCAUGAACUUAAUACACUAGAUGCAUGCUGGAUAGUGGUCGAUAUGUGGAGUAAUAGUAGUAGAUGCAGGCAGGAGUCAGUCUACUAAUCUUAGACGUGAUGCCUAUGUAAUGAUCAUUGCCUGGAUAUUGUCAUAACUAUUUGAAAUUCUAUCAAUUGCCCAACAGUAAUUUGUUUACCCACCGUUUGGUAUUUUUCUCGAGAGAAGCCACUAGUAAAACCUACGGCCUCCGGGUCUUCUUUCUCAUAUAUUUUCCUCGCGAUCUACUUUUCCUUUGCAUUUUUAUUCAGAUCUAUUAAACCAAAAAAACAAAAAUACCUUGCUGCGCUUUAUCUUUAUUUAUUCUAUUUGGCGUUCGAUCUAUCAAUCUACUACAGUUUACCUCACGUCCGCUUGCCUAUCUUGAGGCGCGUACCCCGGAAGGGAUUGACAACCCCUUUAAAUCGUCGGGUUGCGAGGUGUUGUUGUUUGUGUGCAAGGGUUGUUUACGUUGUGUUGCUUGGUUCUCCUACUGGUUCGAUACCUUGGUUUCAUAAAUGAGGAAAAUACCUACCUUCGCUGUGCUACAUCAUCCCUCCCUCUCCGGGGAAAUACCGACGUAGUUGCAGUUGCCAUCGGUCCCCCGCCCAUCAGCGAACGAGUCGGGCCACCAAACCACCCCCACGCCGCUCGUCGCACCCUGGCCACAGAGCUGGCCAGAUCUGGCUGGAAGCCGAUCCGCACGCCUCCACCAGAGGGCCUUGACCUCACAGCCGCCACACCGCGCCUGAGCACCCGGACGUCACCGCACCGCCGAGCAGUGGGACACCGCCGCCAAGAAACCCGUCGCUGCGCCAUUAGACCCCACGACAGCCCAAUGCUCGGAGGGGCAGUCCCGCGCCGACCCCGAAGCCGAGUGGGAGGGAGCAAGGCCCUGCCGGCACCGAUGCCGGCCAGGCUUUGCCUGGCGGUGGCAGGGGAGGACGACCGUGAGGAGGGGGCAAAAGGCGCCGCGCUAGGGUUAGACAUAAGACAAACUUAGGUGGCCUAUUUUUGUGGGAAGGAGGGAGUAUGAAACUGGCAGGUCACCUAAAGUAUGUGGGACACUUGGAUUUUCUUUUGAGAAUUUCGAAUACUUAUGUGCACUAGUUAAUGUAUACGUGCAAUGCACUUUAAUUUAGAAGUAUAUUAAGUGCAUGUGGAUAUUAAGUAGGAUAUUAUUUGCGUGUUAUUAAACUUGUUGAGCGCUCGACGUUGAAGCAGUCUAGGUCGUUGGAUUGACAUGAUUUGAUGGCCGAGAUUAAUUGGAUCUGCCCCUUUGGAUCUUUUUAUAUUGAUAGAUGUUCCUUUUAUUUUUUAAUUGAAAAUAUGAUGUCAGUAUUUUGUAUACUUCUGCAGGACUUAUAAACUCACAACUCUUAUUUUAAUAAGCUUGUUAGUACAUGGUUCGUGAGAACACCAUUUUAUUACGAGCUGAUGCAUCCACUGUAUUCUUGGAUGCUUUAUUCUUGCGGUUCCAAAUCAGCUUUAACAAACUUGUUCCAGCCUAGAGAUAGGAUUCCUCCUGUCCCCUGUUGUGAACAUAAGUAUAUAAUAUGAAAUUCUCUGAUGCUUAGCUUACCAUUGCACUAUGAUUUCUUAUAUUGAUAUUGGCAUUUAACGAAGCUAGUCUUUUUUAACUUUAGCAUAGCAUAGUGUCUGCUGCUCAUGACAUCACCAGGAAGAAGCAGAAGCAUCUUUUAUGCCGUCGUAGCUGCUACAAAAAUGGCAUGCAUAUCAUCGCUGAAAUAAUGCAAAGAAAAACUAACUAAUUACUGUUAAUGUUGCGUUCGGAUUCUGUGGAAGAUAACAUGACGUAAUUGAGCAAUGAUGCCGAGAUUGUUGGUUGUGUUGACGUAUAAAUGUUAAUGUUACAUCAGAUCGGUUUUUUAGUUUCAUUGGCUAGAGCAUGCACUUCUACAGGUUGUCCGAUGGUCUAUUCAUUACUAUUUUCAAAUCAUGAGGUAAUAUAGUUUGAGUCACUUACCACUUUGCUAGUUUAGUUUUUGAGAAAUGACAGAGAGGUGUCAUCUUGGUGAAGAUGAGUAGCUUCAUUUCGUAGUGUUCAAUGUAUCCAGCCUAGUUCCACGGUGUAACUGACCCUGCCACUCUAGAAGCUCUUGCAUGCUGAGAAGCCUUAGCUUUGGCGGCUGAUCUUAGAGCAACUCUAGCAGACCCCGCAUUCGGCGCAAAUCCACAUAAUUCCGGCGAUUAUACGGACUCGGCCCAUUUUUCUGGCCAAACUAGAGCCCGUAUCGGUGUCCGGCCCGUAAAUUCUUUUGCCGCAGCCCGCAAACGUAACCCCCAAGCCACUAUAACUGCGGGUUUGCGGGGCAGAUGCGGGUCGAAACCCUAUCCACCCGCCGCCGCGUUCCCCUCCAAUUCCCCACCGCGCCGCUCGAUUUCUCGCCACCGGCGAGCCUUGAACCACCAUGGCCGACUCGGGGGAUGAGGCGGAGCGCCGCCGCCGCUUCAGGUCUGACGCCGCGCGCAAACGGGGGGCGCGUCGGUGGCUCAACUAGGGUGCCCGGCCGCCGCCGGCAUUCGACCGGCGCGAUCUCGACGAGUUCGAGCUCGAGCGCGCCCGUCGCCACCGCGCCUCCUCCGAUAACUGGUCCGCGGGGAGCUCAUCCGGCCACUGGUCCGCGGGGAGCUCAUCCGGCCACUGGUCUGCGGGGAGCUCAUCCGCGGGCGCAUCGAGCUCGCGGCUCGUUCCGGUGAAGAGGGAGCCGGAGGAGGCCGUGCCCGAUGCGCCGCCGCGCCGAGGCGUCAUCAGACCGGAGGACUACCUCCCACCGGGGCAGGAGGAGCUCCUCGAGCGCGUCGUCCUCGAGCGGUCGGCGAGGGAGCUGCAAGAGAUGGAAGAGCGCAUCCGGCGCGAGCUCGAGUACAAGCAACUCUUCCUCAAUUCGGACCUCACGACAUCGCAGGCGCAGGCAUCGAAGGAGGCCGACCUGCGCGUGAUGAAGGAGGAGCAGGCGAAGCUCUUCGUCGACCUCGGCUCCGACUCCUCCGACUCCGACUAAUCGCCGCCGGUGGGCAGCUAUCGCAGGAGCUCAGGUGAGCUCAAUUUUGUUGCAGUGAUGCGGUAGCGUAGGCCCUGUCUAGCAUAUCUAACCUCUAUGUAUGUAUGUGGCGUGUAUGAACUUAUUUGCCAAGAAGAAACAUGUAUGCGAGCGAGCUCCGGCGAGCUGUUGUUUAAAUUUCUCACGCGAAACAACUUUUUUGAAAUUUAGGGGUCCGUUUGCGGUUUCUAGUCUGCCGCCGCAAUUUUUGGCCUGCAUAAUUGCCCCCGUGCGACCUACAAAUACAUUUUACGGAUCGGCAAAAUGCGAGGUCUGCUAGAGUUGCUCUUAGCUUUGGUGGCCGAUCUCUUCACUCCAACAUCUGGAAGUUGCGGCGGAUUGCAAGGAAGUGACGAAGGACAUCAAGGACGGAACAGGUGGGCUACGUGGGAAUAUUAUCCGGGAGAUUACAUCUUCACUUUCGGAGUUUCUUUUUCACUUUCGGAGUUUCAGUCCUGCACUUUCUCCUUCGAAGCGAUGGCAACAAAUUCCGAGGCACACGGCCUCACUAACAUGCUCUUGGACUUACUAGGAAAGACAUAUUUGGCUGUUGCAGCCUCCUGCUAUUGGUUGCAUUAAGAUGAAUAUUAUCAUUGAUUAAUAAAGAGGGUGUGUUUAGACUAAAAAACUAGUUAAAGGGUACGUCUUGUUUGUCGGGCCAGCCCAAAGCGCUCGAGCAUGGGCGCCAGUUUGGCUAGGCAGCGCUAAGACUAGCCAUAAUGGGUAAUAACAUAGAGUAGUAACAUGCAUAUGUUACUACUCUAUGUUACUAUCUCCAUAGUAUGUAGUAACUUAGAGGUGGUAACAUGAAGGUUGCCAUUUAUUGUUUUGUGGGAUCUAUAGUAGUACUUUAACUUUGUGAUCUAUAUGAGGUCCAAAAUUAUAAGGAUGCAUUGGAGAGAAUUGUCCAAAACUUAGCAAGCCUUCAGAUGCAGGGGUGUACAUUGGCCUCCUGUUACAAAUAUGAGGUUAUGUUCAGAUCCACAUUCUAUGAAUACAAAGCUUGGGAUUUUGGAACGGGACAAUUCGCUUGAAGCCACUGAAUAUAUAGCUUUUGAGGACUUUGGUUUAGAAGCCUAAAGUAUGUUCCAAUCAUAAACAGUUUUCAUUCCAAAAAGGAUUUCAAACUACAGCUCAUGUAUUCUCUGAAGAAAGGUUUGAAACAAUUCAUUUUAAGAAAAAAUAAUCUGUAGUUAUCACAAUUUAAUAGAUUGUCUGAAUUAAUCCAUAGCAAUUUCCUUGCAUGUAUUCAGGCUACCUUAACACACGCUGAAUCAGACUUACAAAUUCAGACUUAGAUGUUAGUAAAGACUUGGCAGUACAAACAUUACCUACUGCUGUUUUAUUAAGAUGGAUAUAAUCCUACUAACUACAGUAGAGGGAUGUGAGUACAGACUUGGCACUCGGCAGUAUAGAAAUUCCCUGAACAACUACACACGCUGAAUCAGGUAUUCUAGAUCCUGAACACAAAACAUAAAUUAUCUAAUGCUGCAAAUUUGAGCUGAAGAAAUUGCAAUUGCUGAAGAUUGAACUGAAACCAGAAAUUUAUACCAUGUAGGGUUUGCAGUAGAGGAAUCUAUGAGAGAGGGGUACAGGUGCGGCGGUGUCGACGGACUGGUGGACGAGCUAGUCGGAGCGCCGGCGUAGAAGAGCGGCUGUGGCGAGCGGCUGGCGUCACGAGCCUGCCGGGACGCGCUGACCGGGCUGGUGCCGCCUUCUUACAGGCACCAGACUUGGCCAUGAUUCCGGUGGCUUCGCCCCGCCCGCCAGAGCCGCCUCCGGCCGGCGAGAGGGAGUGCGGGACAGGGGGAUCGAGGCGGCAGGGGAGGGAGAGGAUGAAGGUGCAGCCGUGGAGAAGGGAAAGGAGAUUUUUC